UACGUAGGGGGCAAGCGUUGUUCGGAUUCAUUGGGCGUAAAGGGUGCGUAGGUGGCGCUGUAAGUGGGGUGUGAAAUCCCGGGGCUUAACUCCGGAACUGCAUUCCAUACUGCGGUGCUUGAGGACUGGAGAGGAGACUGGAAUUUACGGUGUAGCAGUGAAAUGCGUAGAGAUCGUAAGGAAGACCAGUGGCGAAGGCGGGUCUCUGGACAGUUCCUGACACUGAGGCACGAAGGCCAGGGGAGCAAACGGG
rnacentral:rRNA from 1 species